AGUGAACGCUGGCGGUAGGCCUAACACAUGCAAGUCGAACGGCAGCACAGUAAGAGCUUGCUCUUACGGGUGGCGAGUGGCGGACGGGUGAGGAAUACAUCGGAAUCUACUUUUUCGUGGGGGAUAACGUAGGGAAACCUACGCUAAUACCGCAUACGACCUACGGGUGAAAGCAGGGGAUCUUCGGACCUUGCGCGAUUGAAUGAGCCGAUGUCGGAUUAGCUAGUUGGCGGGGUAAUGGCCCACCCAGGCGACGAUCCGUAGCUGGUCUGAGAGGAUGGUCAGCCACACUGGAACUGAGACACGGUCCAGACUCCUACGGGAGGCAGCAGUGUGGAAUAUUGGACAAUGGGCGCAAGCCUGAUCCAGCCAUACCGCGUGGGUGAAGAAGGCCUUCGGGUUGUAAAGCCCUUUUGUUGGGAAAGAAAAGCAGCAGGUUAAGACCCAGCUGUUCUGACGGUACCCAAAGAAUAAGCACCGGCUAACUACGUG
rnacentral:rRNA from 1 species